rnacentral:rRNA from 1 species
GGCAGGGUCUUCGCAGGGACAGCAACGGUCUGGUGUCAGCCGAACCCCGCUGGAACGGGGGGCCGGAGUGGGUGAGAGCCCCGUAGGCGACGGCAUCAGGCGUCCUGUGGUCAUGGUGCGUGAGUACCGCCGGACACGCGGAAUCCGGCGGGAAGCGGGGUGGACCACCGCCCAAGGCUAAAUACCGCCUGCGACCGAUAGUGAACCAGUACCGUGAGGGA